GGACUACUGGGGUUUCUAAUCCCGUUCGCUCCCCUAGCCUUCGCGCCUCAGCGUCAGGUACGGCCCAGGGGGCCGCCUUCGCCACGGGUGUUCCUGCUGAUCUCUACGCAUUUCACCGCUACACCAGCAAUUCCACCCCCCUCUACCGACCUCAAGCUGUGCAGUCUAAAGUGCACCCUCCCCGUUGAGCAGGGAGAUUUCACACCUUACUUGCACUGCCGCCUGCGCGCGCUUUACGCCCAGUAAAUCCGGACAACGCUUGCCUCCUACGUAUUACCGCGGCUGCUGGCAC
rnacentral:rRNA from 1 species